CCUACGGGGGGCAGCAGUAGGGAAUAUUGCUCAAUGGGGGAAACCCUGAAGCAGCAACGCCGCGUGGAGGAUGAAGGUUUUCGGAUUGUAAACUCCUUUUGUUAGAGAAGAUAAUGACGGUAUCUAACGAAUAAGCACCGGCUAACUCCGUGCCAGCAGCCGCGGUAAUACGGAGGGUGCAAGCGUUACUCGGAAUCACUGGGCGUAAAGCGCGCGUAGGCGGGAUAGCAAGUCAGAUGUGAAAUCCUAUGGCUUAACCAUAGAACUGCAUUUGAAACUGUUAUUCUAGAGUAUGGGAGAGGUAGGUGGAAUGCGUGGUGUAGCGGUAAAAUCCGUAGAGAUCAAGAAGAAUACUCAUUGCGAAGGCGACCUGCUAGAACAUAACUGACGCUGAGGCGCGAAAGCGUGGGGAGCAAACAGGAUUAGAUACCCCGGUAGUC
rnacentral:rRNA from 1 species